UAGGGAAUCUUCGGCAAUGGGGGCAACCCUGACCGAGCAACGCCGCGUGAGUGAAGAAGGUUUUCGGAUCGUAAAGCUCUGUUGUAAGUCAAGAACGGGUGUGAGAGUGGAAAGUUCACACUGUGACGGUAGCUUACCAGAAAGGGACGGCUAACUACGUGCCAGCAGCCGCGGUAAUACGUAGGUCCCGAGCGUUGUCCGGAUUUAUUGGGCGUAAAGCGAGCGCAGGCGGUUUGAUAAGUCUGAAGUUAAAGGCUGUGGCUCAACCAUAGUUCGCUUUGGAAGCUGUCAAACUUGAGUGCAGAAGGGGAGAGUGGAAUUCCAUGUGUAGCGGUGAAAUGCGUAGAUAUAUGGAGGAACACCGGUGGCGAAAGCGGCUCUCUGGUCUGUAACUGACGCUGAGGCUCGAAAGCGUGGGGAGCGAACAGGAUUAGAUACCCUGGUAGUCCACGCCGUAAACGAUGAGUGCUAGGUGUUGGAUCCUUUCCGGGAUUCAGUGCCGCAGCUAACGCAUUAAGCACUCCGCCUGGGGAGUACGACCGCAAGGUUGAAAC
rnacentral:rRNA from 1 species